rnacentral:rRNA from 1 species
CCUACGGGAGGCAGCAGUGGGGAAUAUUGCACAAUGGGGGAAACCCUGAUGCAGCGACGCCGCGUGAGUGAAGAAGUAUUUCGGUAUGUAAAGCUCUAUCAGCAGGGAAGAAAAUGACGGUACCUGAUUAAGAAGCCCCGGCUAACUACGUGCCAGCAGCCGCGGUAAUACGUAGGGGGCAAGCGUUAUCCGGAUUUACUGGGUGUAAAGGGAGCGUAGACGGCAGCACAAGUCUGGAGUGAAAUGCCGGGGCCCAACCCCGGGACUGCAUUGGAAACUGUUGAACUGGAGUACAGGAGAGGUAAGCGGAAUUCCUAGUGUAGCGGUGAAAUGCGUAGAUAUUAGGAGGAACACCAGUGGCGAAGGCGGCUUACUGGACUGUAACUGACGUUGAGGCUCGAAAGCGUGGGGAGCAAACAGGAUUAGAUACCCCGGUAGUC